rnacentral:lncRNA from 1 species
GACCUAAGAUUCUAACUCCAAUCUUCUGAUUCCAAAGCCUUUGUUACUUGCUCCACCCCACAACUGCCUCACAAGCAUCCCAGAGUCCAGUCAGCAGACAGCAGAAGAGACUGUCAGCAGACCACCUUGGAGGGGAUGCUUGGAGCUGCCUAACGUGUGAUUCAAAGAUGAAUUCCAUGUGUUUGGAGAAGAAGCCCUAGCCUCAACACAAAGGUUGGCCACAUUCCAGCCAAGGUAGCACGGAGUGAAGGCCCGUGGAGGGAGAGCUGGGCUUUUCUGAACUACUUCAGUACACCUUGCUGUGCCUUGGCCUGCCGUGUUUCAUCCCCAUGGCUGUCCUCAGUGAUGUGCAUGGUCACUGCUCCCUUCACCACUGAGAAGACGGGCACAGGACAGUCAGGGGAUGUGUCCAAGGUCCCACAGCAGGAAGGGCUGGAGCCAGAAUGUGGUCUGAGAGGCUGGAUAUACAAAGAGACAAUGGCAUGACCAUCUGUACAAAUGGAACUAUGGCCCACAACCUGCAGCAGCCAGCCCAGGAAGCCAACCCGUCACCUGCAGCAGCCAGGAUGGAUGCUGGCCUGCCCUCAGUUGUACUCACAUCAUUGGUCUUAUGGGGAAAUUUUAAGACCUCCCACUUGUAAGGUUUUAUAGCCCUCUAUGGAAUAUUGAAGAAAGAGUAAAAUGCAUCCAAAAAAAAAAAAAAACACUAAACUGGAUAAAUUCUAAGGCCUCUUCAGGUCUUAAGAUGGCCAUUUUCUAGGUCCUCUUGCUGCAGCAGUGAAAUCCACAAACACGGACAAGUCAGUCAGUUACGUGCCUUUCAGAGAAAACUUCUGACUUAGGAAUUCCAGCUAUUUGGCCCAACCCAUAUUAGAUUGUGUUAUAAAGACAUGGUAAAUUACAUCACGAAGGGAAGAGCAGAGGAAACAUAAUAUUCCUUCAAGACCCAUCAGCUCAGAUGUUAGCAGAACACCCCUAAGGAGGAAAACAAGAAAUUUUGGGUUUGAACUUGGUACUUCCCAGCAGCCCUGGGAGUGGGGUCAGAAGCCCUGCUGGGGGCCAAAGAACUCUGAGGAUCAAAGAUGUUGAGCAUCACCUUAGAGGCCAAAGAUCAGAACAGUGGAGGUGGCCUUUGAAGCCCAACCUGUCUUUCACCAGAGAGUGAGAACGGCCUCUAUUUCCAGGAAGCUCACUGCAGCAAUAAUCAUGAUGCUCUGAGCCUGACAAGCAAAAGAAAACUUCUUUAGGAGGAUAAAAGGGAGAUGAAGAAACAGAAAACACAUCAGCUCUCCAUCCAGAUUACAGAAAGCAGAAAACAUCCUGAAGUGAAUAACAUAGGAAUCGCUCUUUUUCCCCCCUGAGAUAGCAGGUUACUUAUGAGAAACAAGCUUGAAAUCUCUGCACCUGGACCAGCUUCCAGAGGCUUUUGUCCUGACCAGCUGGCUUUGGGGAAGUAAAGGAAACCAGAGAAGAAGAGGCUGAAAGAAUUGGUUUCCACCGUGACCUUUGAACCCUCGGGCGAGUUGUCAGCCUCACUGAGGAUGAGUGUACUCCAUAUCAAGUGAGGUCACUUUACUCGCAAGCUUGUUGUGAGGACUGAAUGAAACCUUUUCUUUUUUCUUGGAGUUUCAGAGCAACGUCCCUGAGCCCAGCCCCACACUGGCUUGAGCCCUGUCGUCGGUCAAGACACGGUGCUUUCUCCCCUCCCCUCUGCACUCCAGCUUACUCUGCAGUCAGGAGGUGGCACCACGAUCCCCUUUAAGACUUUGCCACUUGGGCCAGCUGCGCCCCUGUGAAAUUCCCUGUUUCUAUUGCAGGCCACAAGGACGAGCUGAGAAAUGGCUUCCAGUCACCAUCUAGAUUAGAAAGCCUAUAUUUCAAAUAUAGAUAUAUCAAUUAUGCCUGUAAAAAGACAUUAAAUCCCACAGGGCUGUAAUUCCUAGACUCUACGAAUUUCAUCUUGCACCAAAUUUUAUUAUUUCAUUUAUAAUUCGGAUUCUUCAAAUCUAAGAGUGCCUGGCUCAAAAUUAAAAUACCUACAACUAUGCCAAAACUGGACUCUUUAAUUGCCUUACUGGAACCAGUAGCUGAUUCAAAGCAAAACGAAACAAAAUUCCUCCUUUCUCUGAUUUAGUGAAUCAAUGAUCUAACUGAACUCAUUUUUGGACUGAGUUUGCGGCACUUGCAGCCCUGAGGGACACAUUCCCCCACCACACUGAGCCUGCACUCCCAUCAAUGCAAAUGAACAUUUUGCUUAUUCAGAUUGGGGGGGUGAAGGAAGUCACAAAAGGGUUAAUACAUAUGGCAUUUCAUUGUAAUAUGUACUCACUACUAACUAAAUUAAAAGAGAUGUGAGUUAUUAAAAACUCCAUCUUAAGAAAGUAACAGAAAUCAGAGUUCAGAUUCGUUGUUACUGAGUUUCCAACCAACACCUGUGAGUUAAACCUACGGCCACCCUGAAAACGGUUCAUAUUUUCAAAAGCUUCAUCGAAGAUGAGCUGCACUAAAGAUUCAUAUUACAUAUCAUGCUGCAAUAAGAAAAUCAAAUAAGGCCUUUCCAUAUUCAAUAAUAAAGUUUAAAGAAAAGUAAUAUUUGUUUAGCCAGUUAGCCAGAAAUUAGAUGUAUCAGAAUACAUCAUUCUUUGAGCAUUUUAGAAAAAUCAGGGUAUUUCUACAUUGUGUUUUUCUUUGUAAGCCCUCAAAAAAUAUAGAGAAUAUUCUUGAAAUUAUAGUGUUUGUCUUCUGGAACAAAAAAUACUAAUCAAGGAAAUCUACAAAUUUAAUGGUUUAUUGAGUUUCCACAGGAAACACUGUGUGAGGAGGCUGAGGCUUAGAAGUUCAAAAACUAAAAGGAUUGUUAUGAUUUCGAUAAUAAUAUCUUAUGUCUGCACAACAUCUGAACUCAGUUCUUUCCUGAGGUUCUCUCAUUCUUCAAGCAGCCUCUGAGGUAGGCAGGAGCGAUAAUAUCGGUUCCAUUUUACAGUUAGGAAAACAGAGGCUCACAGAGUCCCAAGGCUUAGCGGGAACGUCCGCCCUGCUCUCUGGGUUCUGAAGAACACAGUCGUGAAGGAUGUAAGCCAUUUCACAUUUUAAGACGAAACAGAUAACUUGUGCUAAAUGCAUGUCCCAGCCCUGCCCUGAGGGCAGGUGGGCACCCGGUGGCCUGCAGGGCUGACAAUUGUGAGAGGGAAGCAAGCUGGGGAGGCUCCCUGGAGAGCUGGUGCAGAGCCUGGAGGACAAGGAAGAUGUGGGGCACGCGGAGAAGGAGACAAGGAAGUCGAAGCGGGUAAGGGCGCAGGAGGCCGGAUUUCCUGUGAUGCUGGACACGUGGCAGGACGCGGGGAGAGCCCGUGGUGCUGCAGGGUGGCAUGGGAAGCCCUGGAAGGUUGCCUGCUCUGCAGCAGCUGGAGGGAGCAAGACAGCCCUGUGGCUGGCAGGGUCAGAAGAAAUCUAAGAGGACUAAGAGCCAUAGCCUGCCCUCGAACUCAGGUGUGCUGUCUCCGAUUCAGGCGAAACUCAGGGUUCACCACUGAGAGACGUUUCACCCGGCCCUCAUGGUGCCCUCCUCAGGGUUCCACGGAAUCCUAACGCACGCUCCUCGUUUCAUUUUAGGCUUUGCAUUAAUUUCAACCUGUUCAAGACAUGAAAGCACUAGAGAGCUGAAAAAUUUUUGGAGGACUCCUUUCAAAUGUCAUGCUG